rnacentral:rRNA from 1 species
AGUGAACGCUGGCGGUAGGCCUAACACAUGCAAGUCGAACGGCAGCACAGUAAGAGCUUGCUCUUACGGGUGGCGAGUGGCGGACGGGUGAGGAAUACAUCGGAAUCUACUUUUUCGUGGGGGAUAACGUAGGGAAACUUACGCUAAUACCGCAUACGACCUACGGGUGAAAGCAGUGGAUCUUCGGACCUUGUGCGAUUGAAUGAGCCGAUGUCGGAUUAGCUAGUUGGGGGGGUAAAGGCCCACCAAGGCGACGAUCCGUAGCUGGUCUGAGAGGAUGAUCGGCCACACUGGAACUGAGACACGGUCCAGACUCCUACGGGAGGCAGCAGUGGGGAAUAUUGGGCAAUGGGCGCAAGCCUGGUCCAGCCAUACCGCGUGGGUGAAGAAGGCCUUCGGGUUGUAAAGCCCUUUUGUUGGGAAAGAAAAGCAGCAGGUUAAUACCCCGCUGUUCUGACGGUACCCAAAGAAUAAGCACCGGCUAACUUCGUG